rnacentral:rRNA from 1 species
GAUGAACGCUGGCGGCGUGCCUAAUACAUGCAAGUCGAGCGAACAGACGAGGAGCUUGCUCCUCUGACGUUAGCGGCGGACGGGUGAGUAACACGUGGAUAACCUACCUAUAAGACUGGGAUAACUUCGGGAAACCGGAGCUAAUACCGGAUAAUAUAUUGAACCGCAUGGUUCAAUAGUGAAAGACGGUUUUGCUGUCACUUAUAGAUGGAUCCGCGCCGCAUUAGCUAGUUGGUAAGGUAACGGCUUACCAAGGCAACGAUGCGUAGCCGACCUGAGAGGGUGAUCGGCCACACUGGAACUGAGACACGGUCCAGACUCCUACGGGAGGCAGCAGUAGGGAAUCUUCCGCAAUGGGCGACAGCCUGACGGAACAACGCCGCGUGAGUGAUGGAGGUCUUCGGAUCGUAAAACUCUGUUAUUAGGGAAAAACAAAUGUGUAAGUAACUAUGCACGUCUUGACGGUACCUAAUCAGAAAGCCACGGCUAACUACGUG